rnacentral:rRNA from 1 species
AAAUUGAAGAGUUUGAUCAUGGCUCAGAUUGAACGCUGGCGGCAGGCCUAACACAUGCAAGUCGAACGGUAACAGGAAGCAGCUUGCUGCUUCGCUGACGAGUGGCGGACGGGUGAGUAAUGUCUGGGAAACUGCCUGAUGGAGGGGGAUAACUACUGGAAACGGUAGCUAAUACCGCAUAACGUCGCAAGACCAAAGAGGGGGACCUUCGGGCCUCUUGCCAUCGGAUGUGCCCAGAUGGGAUUAGCUUGUUGGUGGGGUAACGGCUCACCAAGGCGACGAUCCCUAGCUGGUCUGAGAGGAUGACCAGCCACACUGGAACUGAGACACGGUCCAGACUCCUACGGGAGGCAGCAGUGGGGAAUAUUGCACAAUGGGCGCAAGCCUGAUGCAGCCAUGCCGCGUGUAUGAAGAAGGCCUUCGGGUUGUAAAGUACUUUCAGCGGGGAGGAAGGGAGUAAAGUUAAUACCUUUGCUCAUUGACGUUACCCGCAGAAGAAGCACCGGCUAACUCCGUGCCAGCAGCCGCGGUAAUACGGAGGGUGCAAGCGUUAAUCGGAAUUACUGGGCGUAAAGCGCACGCAGGCGGUUUGUUAAGUCAGAUGUGAAAUCCCCGGGCUCAACCUGGGAACUGCAUCUGAUACUGGCAAGCUUGAGUCUCGUAGAGGGGGGUAGAAUUCCAGGUGUAGCGGUGAAAUGCGUAGAGAUCUGGAGGAAUACCGGUGGCGAAGGCGGCCCCCUGGACGAAGACUGACGCUCAGGUGCGAAAGCGUGGGGAGCAAACAGGAUUAGAUACCCUGGUAGUCCACGCCGUAAACGAUGUCGACUUGGAGGUUGUGCCCUUGAGGCGUGGCUUCCGGAGCUAACGCGUUAAGUCGACCGCCUGGGGAGUACGGCCGCAAGGUUAAAACUCAAAUGAAUUGACGGGGGCCCGCACAAGCGGUGGAGCAUGUGGUUUAAUUCGAUGCAACGCGAAGAACCUUACCUGGUCUUGACAUCCACGGAAGUUUUCAGAGAUGAGAAUGUGCCUUCGGGAACUGUGAGACAGGUGCUGCAUGGCUGUCGUCAGCUCGUGUUGUGAAAUGUUGGGUUAAGUCCCGCAACGAGCGCAACCCUUAUCCUUUGUUGCCAGCGGUCCGGCCGGGAACUCAAAGGAGACUGCCAGUGAUAAACUGGAGGAAGGUGGGGAUGACGUCAAGUCAUCAUGGCCCUUACGACCAGGGCUACACACGUGCUACAAUGGCGCAUACAAAGAGAAGCGACCUCGCGAGAGCAAGCGGACCUCAUAAAGUGCGUCGUAGUCCGGAUUGGAGUCUGCAACUCGACUCCAUGAAGUCGGAAUCGCUAGUAAUCGUGGAUCAGAAUGCCACGGUGAAUACGUUCCCGGGCCUUGUACACACCGCCCGUCACACCAUGGGAGUGGGUUGCAAAAGAAGUAGGUAGCUUAACCUUCGGGAGGGCGCUUACCACUUUGUGAUUCAUGACUGGGGUGAAGUCGUAACAAGGUAACCGUAGGGGAACCUGCGGUUGGAUCACCUCCUUA